rnacentral:lncRNA from 1 species
UGCUUCAGCAAGAAGAAGGUGCAGAUCCUCCCUCCCCAGAUUGCUUGGAAACAGGAGAAAACCGGACGUAAUCAAUGCCGUCCAGUGCACACCUACAGGAUGCUCCUCCACUCCUCUCCAGGACCCUUACACAGGAUGAAGAACAGACCUCCUUGAGGCAGAGUAGCAGCUGUGGUCUGUCUGCAGCCUCUGCCUCUGAGUCAUUGUCAGGUUCUACCAAGUCAAGAAUUCCUCACAGUAAAAUGCUCCAAGGAAAUCUUCCCAGAAUCAUCUCCCCUGAGUCUCCUGCUAAGCUUCCCUGCUGCUAUGGAGUGAUCAUGGUCCUCAGUGUAGCUGUAGUAGCUCUUUCUGUUGCUUUGUCAGUAAAAAAGACACCACAGAUCUUAACCGUAAAAACCUACGCUGCUUGCCCGAGAAACUGGAUAGGAGUUGGAAAUAAAUGUUAUUAUUUUAAUGAAACGCCAAGUAACUGGACAUUCAGCCAGACCCUCUGUAAGGCACAAGAGGCCGAGCUAGCACGAUUUGACACCGAGGAGGAGCUGAAUUUCCUAAAGAGACACAAAGGGAGUUCGGGUUACUGGAUCGGUCUGCACAGAGAGUCAUCAUCACAGCCUUGGAAGUGGACAGACAACACUGCAUAUAACAACUUGGUUCCCAUCGGAGGAGAUGAAAAACAUGGUUUCCUGAGUGACAAUGGGUUCAGCAGUGGCAGGGGUUACAUAGUGAGGAAGUCGAUUUGUAGCAAGCCCAACAGCUACACCUCACAGUGCCAGUAGUUUUGUGUCCUGGGUAGAGAGUUUGUCCUAGCAAUCACGAGGAACACAGAACAUGCUAUCUACAGUGUCUGCAUCAUUAACAAUCUGCUAAAAUCAUCUUCAGUUCAUAAUGUGUGGUGACAUCUAAGAUGACAAUUGAGGCAUAUUUUGCUUGGGAAAUCAUGAAUUGUUCUACAUUAAAUAAGUAUUCAGGUAUGAGCUGGUUCUCACAUCUUAAACAUAAACUGAAUCACAUCAGUAUUAGUUACCUCUAUUUUCUUUUUUCUCUUUCUUAAAUUAUAUUAUUAAUUUAUAUUACAAAUGCUGUCCCUCCUUUUUCCCCCUUCUAGAGUUCUUCACUCCAUACCCUCUCUUCUUUACUUCUGAAGAGAUGUUCCUCCAACCCCCAUCCUUAAACCACCCCACUCUGAGUAUUUCCCUUCUCUUGGACUUUAGGUCUCUACAGGAUUAGGUGCAUCCUCUCCUAGUGAGGCCAACAAGGUAGUCCUCUGCUAUGCAUGACCUGGGGGCUAUGGACCAUCCAAUGUAUCUUUUUUGGAGACUUAGUCUCUGGGAGCUCCUAGGGUCCAGGUUAGUUGAUGUUGUUAGUCUUCCUUUGGAGU